CAUAAUUACCAGCUCUAACGUAUGAAAAGUCGUAAGGAUGAUAGACAGACAUACAGCAUAAAUGUAUCGAAGACAAAAAAAAAAUCUUCUGAAUGCAGCCGUCAGCGAGCCAUUGAAUAUCCUGUAGCAAAGGCUUAGCCUCUUCUUUGGAAUAAGCACUGCAUCUGGAACCAGAAACCCUGGAUUCAAGUUCCAGUUCUUCCCACGAGAAGCUGUGUGACUUCAG
rnacentral:lncRNA from 1 species